AUUGAACGCUGGCGGAAUGCUUUACACAUGCAAGUCGAACGGUAGAGGGGGGCAACCCCCUUGAGAGUGGCGAACGGGUGAGUAAUAUAUCGGAACGUGCCCAGUCGUGGGGAUAACGUAGCGAAAGUUACGCUAAUACCGCAUACGAUCUAAGGAUGAAAGCGGGGGACUCGCAAGAGCCUCGCGCGAUUGGAGCGGCCGAUAUCAGAUUAGGUAGUUGGUGGGGUAAAGGCGUCACCAAGCCAACGAUCUGUAGCUGGUCUGAGAGGACGACCAGCCACACUGAACUGAGACACGGUCCAGACUCC
rnacentral:rRNA from 1 species